UACGUAGGGCGCAAGCGUUGUCCGGAAUUAUUGGGCGUAAAGAGCUCGUAGGCGGUUUGUCGCGUCUGUCGUGAAAGCUUGGGGCUUAACCCCAAGUCUGCGGUGGAUACGGGCAGACUAGAGGCAGGUAGGGGAGAACGGAAUUCCCGGUGUAGCGGUGAAAUGCGCAGAUAUCGGGAGGGACACCGGUGGCGAAGGCGGUUCUCUGGGCCUGUACUGACGCUGAGGAGCGAAAGCGUGGGGAGCGAACAGG
rnacentral:rRNA from 1 species